CAGUCGCCGCGGUAAUGCGUAGGUGGCAAGCGUUGUCCGGAAUUAUUGGGCGUAAAGGGCUCGCAGGCGGUUUCUUAAGUCUGAUGUGAAAGCCCCCGGCUCAGCCGGGGAGGGUCAUUGGAAACUGGGAAACUUGAGUGCAGAAGAGGAGAGUGGAAUUCCACGUGUAGCGGUGAAAUGCGUAGAGAUGUGGAGGAACACCAGUGGCGAAGGCGGCUCUCUGGUCUGUAACUGACGCUGAGGAGCGAAAGCGUGGGGAGCGAACAGGAUUAGAGACCCGCGUAGUCCCUGUCUCUUAUAA
rnacentral:rRNA from 1 species